rnacentral:lncRNA from 1 species
ACAGAUUUACCAGAAUCCCAUAUUUCCCCAUCAUCUGCAUGUUGUUGAUUUAGUUCCUGUCUUGAUCGCUUUUGCAUCCUACAGAAAAGAUGCAGAUAAACCCCGCCCGGAAAUAUGGAGAGCCACAGUGCAGCAUUUCACAUUGAAGAAGGUCUCACAUCUGCAAAUCUGGGUCAGACUUCAGGCUGGUGGCGGAGUCACUUUUUGCCUCUUCACACUGACGCUGUGAAGAAGGGCACAUCGUCAUCCCCAUUUGAUAGGUGAGACAACUGAAGUGAGGAAACUCGCCCAGCGUUUUAGGCUCGUGAGUGUCAGAGCCAGAAGAUGAUGCUGGUGAGCUGAGUCAUGGGGACAGCGGAAGCCCAGCCAGGGUCAGGUUCAAGGUCAGCACUUGGAAGUGGGGUGGGGUGGAGACUGGCCCUUCUGUGGCCUGCUGAUCCUGGAUCUCUGCUCUCAUCACCCUUUACUUGCCCAGCCCAGCUAGGAACAGCUUAGACUCUGACAGCCGGAGCAGCAAGUUACGUGACUGCCCCUCUGUUUAACAAGAAUUACCCAGGAAUCGAGGAGUAGGAACCCUCAGACAGGCAGAGGUUCUCGAACGUUCCCCCUGAGAAAUAGCAACGCUUUGCCGGUGAGCUCGCUGAGCGCGUUUGCUGCUCUCUGGGUGGGCCCCAGUUGAGCCAGCUUCUGUUCCUG